ACGUGGAAACAUUCUCCAAGGUGGACAUCUUCAACUUGGACGGGAACGCAAACGAAAUAAUGCACGAAUUCGACUGCAAUCUGAUCAAAAGCGGCGGCUGCGAACAUUGGCGCAAGGAAAAUCUCAGAAUGAAGCCAAACAAUCACGAAAAAUACCCUCCAAUCACCGACUUUCGCUGGCACGACAUUCCGGUUAUUUUUUUAAAUGCCGGGAGGAAUUUCUGGAUGGAGAAUUUCUUGAGGAACACGGCGCUGCACGCACACUUCUCCAUCCUGACAAACUCGAAUUUUUAUUUCCUGAUUGAUCCGGAUUACUUACAGAUGUCAACCUUCCGAAGACGUUAUAAAGAACCAACACCUGACGACCCGAAUGGCCGAUUCUUUUGGCACGAUCGCCAGGACGUUAUCAAAACAAAAGAAAUAAACUUAAAAAACAGUGGAAAGAAAUGGGAAUUGGUUUCGUUGAGGUUCUCAGAAGACGAUCCGUUGGGAAAUGAGGUUAAAAUUAAUAGCGGUGAGAUA